rnacentral:rRNA from 1 species
CAGCCGUAAACUAUGCGCGUUAGGUGUACUGGUGACCACGAGUCACCGGGGUGCCGAAGGGAAACCGUGAAACGUGCCGCCUGGGAAGUACGGUCGCAAGGCUGAAACUUAAAGGAAUUGGCGGGGGAGCACCACAACAGGUGGAGCCUGCGGUUUAAUUGGACUCAACGCCGGGAAGCUCACCGGAUAGGACAGCAGAAUGAUUGCCGGGCUGAAGACCCUGCAUGACUAGCUGAGAGGAGGUGCAUGGCGUCAGUGACU